rnacentral:sRNA from 1 species
GUACAGGACAUUAGGCUGAGGAUGGGCUUUAAUGAGAUAAUCGGUGGCCCACUUGAGA